AAACCAACAGGGAUUGCCUUAGUAGCGGCGAGUGAAGCGGCAAUAGCUCAAAUUUGAAAUCUGGCGCCUUCGGUGUCCGAGUUGUAAUUUGAAGAAGGUAUCUUUGGUUUUGGCUCUUGUCUAUGUUCCUUGGAACAGGACGUCACAGAGGGUGAGAAUCCCGUGCGAUGAGAUGCCCAAUUCCAUGUAAAGUUCCUUCGACGAGUCGAGUUGUUUGGGAAUGCAGCUCUAAGUGGGUGGUAAAUUCCAUCUAAAGCUAAAUAUUGGCGAGAGACCGAUAGCGAACAAGUACUGUGAAGGAAAGAUGAAAAGAACUUUGAAAAGAGAGUGAAAAAGUACGUGAAAUUGUUGAAAGGGAAGGGCUUGAGGUCAGACUUGGUUUUACCAGGCCAGCAUCAGUUUGGAUGGCAGGAUAAUAGCGAAGGAAAGUGGCACCAUUUCGAUGGUGUGUUAUAGCCUUUGUUGAUACUGCCUGUCUAGACUGAGGACUGCGUCUUG
rnacentral:rRNA from 1 species